GGAACGAACGCUGGCGGCAUGCCUAAUACAUGCAAGUCGAACGAACUCUUCGGAGUUAGUGGCGCACGGGUGCGUAACGCGUGGGAAUCUGCCCCUUGGUUCGGAAUAACAGUUGGAAACGACUGCUAAUACCGGAUGAUGACGAAAGUCCAAAGAUUUAUCGCCAAGGGAUGAGCCCGCGUAGGAUUAGCUAGUUGGUGAGGUAAAGGCUCACCAAGGCAACGAUCCUUAGCUGGUCUGAGAGGAUGAUCAGCCACACUGGGACUGAGACACGGCCCAGACUCCUACGGGAGGCAGCAGUA
rnacentral:rRNA from 1 species